GACGAACGCUGGCGGCGUGCUUAACACAUGCAAGUCGAACGGAAAGGCCCUGCUUUUGUGGGGUGCUCGAGUGGCGAACGGGUGAGUAACACGUGAGUAACCUGCCCUUGACUUUGGGAUAACUUCAGGAAACUGGGGCUAAUACCGGAUAGGAGCUCCUGCUGCAUGGUGGGGGUUGGAAAGUUUCGGCGGUUGGGGAUGGACUCGCGGCUUAUCAGCUUGUUGGUGGGGUAGUGGCUUACCAAGGCUUUGACGGGUAGCCGGCCUGAGAGGGUGACCGGCCACAUUGGGACUGAGAUACGGCCCAGACUCCUACGGGAGGCAGCAGUGGGGAAUAUUGCACAAUGGGCGGAAGCCUGAUGCAGCAACGCCGCGUGCGGGAUGACGGCCUUCGGGUUGUAAACCGCUUUCGCCUGUGACGAAGCGUGAGUGACGGUAAUGGGUAAAGAAGCACCGGCUAACUACGUGCCAGCAGCCGCGGUGAUACGUAGGGUGCGAGCGUUGUCCGGAUUUAUUGGGCGUAAAGAGCUCGUAGGUGGUUGAUCGCGUCGGAAGUGUAAUCUUGGGGCUUAACCCUGAGCGUGCUUUCGAUACGGGUUGACUUGAGGAAGGUAGGGGAGAAUGGAAUUCCUGGUGGAGCGGUGGAAUGCGCAGAUAUCAGGAGGAACACCAGUGGCGAAGGCGGUUCUCUGGGCCUUUCCUGACGCUGAGGAGCGAAAGCGUGGGGAGCGAACAGGCUUAGAUACCCUGGUAGUCCACGCUGUAAACGGUGGGUACUAGGUGUGGGGUCCAUUCCACGGGUUCCGUGCCGUAGCUAACGCUUUAAGUACCCCGCCUGGGGAGUACGGCCGCAAGGCUAAAACUCAAAGGAAUUGACGGGGCCCCGCACAAGCGGCGGAGCAUGCGGAUUAAUUCGAUGCAACGCGUAGAACCUUACCUGGGUUUGACAUGGAUCGGGAGUGCUCAGAGAUGGGUGUGCCUCUUUUGGGGUCGGUUCACAGGUGGUGCAUGGCUGUCGUCAGCUCGUGUCGUGAGAUGUUGGGUUAAGUCCCGCAACGAGCGCAACCCUUGUUCACUGUUGCCAGCACGUUAUGGUGGGGACUCAGUGGAGACCGCCGGGGUCAACUCGGAGGAAGGUGGGGAUGACGUCAAGUCAUCAUGCCCCUUAUGUCCAGGGCUUCACGCAUGCUACAAUGGCUGGUACAGAGAGUGGCGAGCCUGUGAGGGUGAGCGAAUCUCGGAAAGCCGGUCUCAGUUCGGAUUGGGGUCUGCAACUCGACCUCAUGAAGUCGGAGUCGCUAGUAAUCGCAGAUCAGCAACGCUGCGGUGAAUACGUUCCCGGGGCU
rnacentral:rRNA from 1 species